rnacentral:lncRNA from 1 species
CGCUCGGCCCAGCCCACCACAAAGUGAUCACUUAGUGAGUCAACCCAACCCGGCUCAUUUAUUAGUGAGCCGAAAAAAUUUGAACUCGGCUUGAUCCACCACGAGUUGGUGGGUAAAUGGGUUGGUUCACUUAAUUACAAUUUUUUUAAGGUUUAAACCUUUUUUUGGUCCCUAAGUUAACUUCUGAUGUUCAGUUUAGUUCCCG